rnacentral:rRNA from 1 species
AUUGAACGCUGGCGGCAUGCUUUACACAUGCAAGUCGAACGGUAACAGGGAGCUUGCUCCGCUGACGAGUGGCGAACGGGUGAGUAAUGCGCCGGAACGUGCCGAGUAGUGGGGGAUAACGCAGCGAAAGUUGUGCUAAUACCGCAUACGUACUGAGGUAGAAAGUGGGGGACCUUCGGGCCUCACGCUAUUCGAGCGGCCGACGUCUGAUUAGCUAGUAGGUGAGGUAAAGGCUCACCUAGGCGACGAUCAGUAGCGGGUUUGAGAGGAUGAGCCGCCACACUGGGACUGGGACACGGCCCAGACUCCGACGGGAGGCAGCAGUGGGGAAUUUUGGACAAUGGGCGAAAGCCUGAUACAGCCAUGCCGCGUGUCUGAAGAAGGCCUUCGGGUUGUAAAGGACUUUUGUCGGGGAGGAAAUCCCCAGCGCUAAUACCGCUGGGGGAUGACAGUACCUGAAGAAUAAGCACCGGCUAACUACGUGCCAGCAGCCGCCGUAAUAC